AGAGCUGGUUGUUUAAAAGAAUCUGGGAUCCCUCCCUUCUCUCUCUUGCUCCUUCUCUCACCAUGUGAUAUGCUUGCUCCCUUUGGCCUUCUGCAGUGAUUGUAAGCUUCCUGAGGCUUUCACCAGAAACACACGCUGGCACCACGCUUCUUGUAUCGCCUGCAGAGCUGUGAGCCAAAAUAAACCUCUUCUUUAUAAAUUACCCAGCCUCAGGUAUUCCUUUACAGCAACAUAAAAUGGACUAAUAUGUCUGCUAAUUUUUAAAUGUUGGCAUAAUUUAUACGAACCAAACAAAGCAUUCUUUGGGCUGAUUUGGCACACAGGCUGAUAGUUUGCAAACUGUUCUGUACUACGGCUGCUGUCUGUAUUAUCAAGUCCAGAGGGUAAACUUCAGUGACAGGCUAUGGCCAGAAAGGGGCGACAGAGGGUCACAGAACCAAACCAGGCCUAUUAGAUUCAUACUCCCAGCUGCCACUGGGAAAACCUGUCCUGGGUAUGGGGCGCUCCCAAUUAAAUCAAGCCAAAUCAAUAAGUUGGAGGUUGCUGGAUACGAGGCAACAAGUAGAGAGAAAUUAGGGUGAGGGGGAGAUGCCAAGGAAACCAGGUUGUUUCAGAGGACACUGGUGAGCUAAGGGGCCCAAAGAAAACUGUUUUUUCAAAGACGAUCAGAUAUCAAAUAAUAUUCACAAAGGGAGAAAUGAUGAAGUUUCAGGAACAGCACUGAGAAUGAAUGAGCUCUUACAAUGUUUAUGCAAAAGUCAAAAUCUUCAAGCCACCUAUCUUGGCUUCUUAAAAUCACCAGAAUGGGCCCCAGAAAAAAAGGGCCUAAUAGAACAUGUGCCUCUGUGAAUAAUUUAACUAGUGUCACAGCAAGUACAUAUUUUGCUAGCUGAUAAAUUAAUAAAGGAACAAACAAGUUUUGUAGUUUAAGAGUUGGUAUAAAUUAUUGUGCAGAAAUGGCAACUGAAAUGUACAAGAGUCUUCUAUAGUAAUCCAUACUUACUUUACUGUUAUCCCUUAGAUGUUUAAACAUGAAGAUAAAAAUCAAAGCUCUCAGUUUUAUGUUAAUGUUUUUCAAUACUCUCACCUUUAGCUGCAGAAAUAUGGCAUACAUGAAAGAAAAAUGGGGCAAAACCUACUAUGCCACCUUCAGAACCAACCCAUUACAUGUGAAGAACAUUCUUUCAAUAACUUGAGAACCUUCUUGAACCCCAAGUUUCGCUGCCUUGACACUUUGAGAAGGCUGGAGAUGAUUGCUAGCCCAGAGAACAAUGCUCAAAAGUGACUAUAGACGUCCUGUGAGCCAACACAAUGUCUUCUUCAUUCCUAUGUUCCUCAGACACAGCACAGAGCCACACGAACGGAAGCAUAAAAACAACUUACAAUUCUCAAUUUAGAAGAUCUUACUUUAAUGGGAGCUCAUAUUUAUACUCCUCCCAAGACACACACACAAUAGUCUCUGUACAUACCGUUAAAUUUAGUCCUUUUUUCUUUUUCAAAAAGGAAGCAUCUGGAAUGCUUCAAUAACGAAAAAAGUACAUGAUAUGUUAAAUAUGCAGUGCCAAAGAAACACUCGGGAGAAAGUCCAGCAUGCAAUUGGAAAUUCAAGGCUGCUCAUCAGUGGAGUAGCAAGUCUGAAAACAUUUGUCAACUCUGCUUGAUCUUUCCACAUACCUCAUCGGUGAGUUCAGAAAAUUGAGACAAAAUAAUAGGUUGAAAUUUGAGGCAACUGUUCAGGACUCUUUACCUUUUCCUCCUCCUUGCUUGUUAACAGUCUGCUUUACUGUGAUCCCUGUGUCUAACAGAACUUAAAAUCUUAGUUUUGUGUUCUUGACCUGGAUUCUCUCUUUUGGCUCCUUGUUCAGCUCCUUUCUGGUAGCUGAACCUCACCUUUUCUCUUUUCCUAGGCUGGCCCCUUGGGCCCAGAUUUCAACUGAUACUUCUGGCAGAAAAUGCUUGUACCAGUCUACGCCUAACAAUAAAGAACCCAGUUCCCAACUUCGACAUUUGGCUGGUGCUCCGGUGACGCCUGUCCCAAAAGAGAAAAGCCAAAGAAGUAAAUCUGAGUUACCUGAACAGAAAUUAAAAUUUCCCACAUAAAUAAAUCUCAUGAUUUCCAAUUUUCUCUCUUGACUUUAAUUUCUGUGGCUCACUGGCAUUGAGUCUUUUUUUUUUUCUUUACUAUCUGCAUCCUGAGUAUUUCCCAUAUGAUUUGUAAAUGGCUCUAGUAACCUCUAAGUAAACAAAGUGUUCAUUCAUUCAGCCAUUCUUUCACUCAUUUAUUCACUCAUCAAAAAUUAUGAAGUGCCUUGUAUGUGCUAAACAUUGUGUUAGGUGCCAGAAGAUAUAUAGAUAAAUAGAAUAUAUCCUU
rnacentral:lncRNA from 1 species